rnacentral:rRNA from 1 species
UACGUAGGGUGCGAGCGUUGUCCGGAAUUAUUGGGCGUAAAGAGCUCGUAGGCGGUCUGUCGCGUCGGCUGUGAAACCCCGAGGCUCAACCUCGGGCCUGCAGUCGAUACGGGCAGACUAGAGUGUGGUAGGGGAGACUGGAAUUCCUGGUGUAGCGGUGAAAUGCGCAGAUAUCAGGAGGAACACCGAUGGCGAAGGCAAUCCCCUGGGCCUGCACUGACGCUCAUGCACGAAAGCGUGGGGAGCAAACAGG